GAUGAACGCUGGCGGCGUGCCUAAUACAUGCAAGUCGAGCGAACAGACGAGGAGCUUGCUCCUUUGACGUUAGCGGCGGACGGGUGAGUAACACGUAGGUAACCUCCCUAUAAGACUGGGAUAACUUCGGGAAACCGGAGCUAAUACCGGGUAAUAUUUCGAACCGCAUGGUUCGAUAGUGAAAGAUGGCUUUGCUAUCACUUAUAGAUGGACCUGCGCCGUAUUAGCUAGUUGGUAAGGUAACGGCUUACCAAGGCAACGAUACGUAGCCGACCUGAGAGGGGGUUGGGCGACACUGGAGCUGAGAGACGGUCCAGAGCCCGACGGGAGGCAGAGGUAGGGAAACUACCGCAAUGGGCGAAAGCCUGACGGAGCAACGCGGCGUGAGUGAUGAAGGUCUUCGGGUCGUAAAACUCUGUUAUGAGGGAAGAACAAACGUGUAAGUAACGGUGCACGGCUUGACGGAACCUAAUCAGAAAGCCACGGCUACCUACGG
rnacentral:rRNA from 1 species